AAUUCUUUUUGCAAUCAUUUACAAAUACCUCAACAAUAGAUAGAUCCACAAUAAUUUCAUAAUCAUCAAACAGAUUACUUGUCCACAAAUAGUGAAUCCCAAACAAGGAGACAAAAGGGAUUUUACUAUAAUUCAUUAUUUAUAUAAUUUAAUCACUAAAUAUACGAACAACACACGUUCGUAUACCAAAAUUAUCACACAUACAUGAAAACAAAUAAACCUUAAACACAAAAAAAAAUAAAAAAUAAACAGACAAACUGUGCGU
rnacentral:lncRNA from 1 species